GCUCAACCGGGGAGGGUCAUUGGAAACUGGGGAACUUGAGUGCAGAAGAGGAGAGUGGAAUUCCACGUGUAGCGGUGAAAUGCGUAGAGAUGUGGAGGAACACCAGUGGCGAAGGCGACUCUCUGGUCUGUAACUGACGCUGAGGCGCGAAAGCGUGGGGAGCGAACAGGAUUAGAUACCCUGGUAGUCCACGCCGUAAACGAUGAGUGCUAAGUGUUAGAGGGUUUCCGCCCUUUAGUGCUGCAGCAAACGCAUUAAGCACUCCGCCUGGGGAGUACGGUCGCAAGACUGAAACUCAAAGGAAUUGACGGGGGCCCGCACAAGCGGUGGAGCAUGUGGUUUAAUUCGAAGCAACGCGAAGAACCUUACCAGGUCUCGACAUCCUCUGACAACCCUAGAGAUAGGGCUUCCCCUUCGGGGGCAGAGUGACAGGUGGUGCAUGGUUGUCGUCAGCUCGUGUCGUGAGAUGUUGGGUUAAGUCCCGCAACGAGCGCAACCCUUGAUCUUAGUUGCCAGCAUUCAGUUGGGCACUCUAAGGUGACUGCCGGUGACAAACCGGAGGAAGGUGGGGAUGACGUCAAAUCAUCAUGCCCCUUAUGACCUGGGCUACACACGUGCUACAAUGGGCAGAACAAAG
rnacentral:rRNA from 1 species